CGGUGGUCACAGCGACAGGGAAACGCCCGGCCCCAUCCCGAACCCGGAAGCUAAGCCUGACAGCGCCGAUGGUACUGCACCCGCCAGGGUGCGGGAG
rnacentral:rRNA from 1 species